ACAAUGGGCGCAAGCCUGAUGCAGCAACGCCGCGUGAGGGAUGACGGCCUUCGGGUUGUAAACCUCUUUUAGUAGGGAAGAAGCGAAAGUGACGGUACCUGCAGAAAAAGCACCGGCUAACUAC
rnacentral:rRNA from 1 species